rnacentral:rRNA from 1 species
AUUGAACGCUGGCGGCAGGCUUAACACGUGCAAGUCGAGCGGAGAUGAGGUGCUUGCACCUUAUCUUAGCGGCGGACGGGUGAGUAAUGCUUAGGAAUCUGCCUAUUAGUGGGGGACAACAUUCCGAAAGGAAUGCUAAUACCGCAUACGCCCUACGGGGGAAAGCAGGGGAUCUUCGGACCUUGCGCUAAUAGAUGAGCCUAAGUCGGAUUAGCUAGUUGGUGGGGUAAAGGCCUACCAAGGCGACGAUCUGUAGCGGGUCUGAGAGGAUGAUCCGCCACACUGGGACUGAGACACGGCCCAGACUCCUACGGGAGGCAGCAGUGGGGAAUAUUGGACAAUGGGCGGAAGCCUGAUCCAGCCAUGCCGCGUGCGUGAAGAAGGCCUUUUGGUUGUAAAGCACUUUAAGCGAGGAGGAGGCUACCUGGAUUAAUACUCUAGGAUAGUGGACGUUACUCGCAGAAUAAGCACCGGCUAACUCUGUGCCAGCCGCCGCGGUAACAC